GAUGAACGCUGGCGGCAUGCCUUACACAUGCAAGUCGAACGGCAGCGGGGGAGAAGCUUGCUUUUCCUGCCGGCGAGUGGCGAACGGGUGAGUAAUACAUCGGAACGUGCCCUGUAGUGGGGGAUAACUAGUCGAAAGAUUAGCUAAUACCGCAUACGACCUGAGGGUGAAAGUGGGGGACCGCAAGGCCUCAUGCUAUAGGAGCGGCCGAUGUCUGAUUAGCUAGUUGGUGGGGUAAAGGCCUACCAAGGCGACGAUCGGUAGCUGGUCUGAGAGGACGAUCAGCCCAACUGGGACUGAGACACGGCCCAGACUCCUACGGGAGGCAGCAGUGGGGAAUUUUGGACAAUGGGCGAAAGCCUGAUCCAGCAAUGCCGCGUGUGUGAAGAAGGCCUUCGGGUUGUAAAGCACUUUUGUCCGGAAAGAAAUGGCUCUGGUUAAUACCUGGGGUCGAUGACGGUACCGGAAGAAUAAGGACCGGCUAACUACGUGCCAGCCGCCGCCGUAA
rnacentral:rRNA from 1 species